rfam:Ailuropoda melanoleuca scaffold573_40, whole genome shotgun sequence.
ACCUGGCUGGCUCAGUUGGUAGAGCAUACAACUCUCAAUCUUAGGGUUGUGAAUUCGAGCCCCAUGUUGGGUA